rnacentral:tRNA from 1 species
GCCCAAGGUCAGGCCUGGACCGCCCAGCCUCUCUCCUAAAGCGGGUGUCGCAGGUUCGAAUCCUGCCGGGGGCACCA